rnacentral:rRNA from 1 species
GACGAACGCUGGCGGCGUGCUUAACACAUGCAAGUCGAACGGAAAGGCCCUGCUUUUGUGGGUUGCUCGAGUGGCGAACGGGUGAGUAACACGUGAGUAACCUCUCCUUGACUUUGGGAUAACUUCAGGAAACUGGGGCUAAUACCGGAUAGGAGCUCCUGCUGCAUGGUGGGGGAUGGAAAGAUUCGGCGGUUGGGGAUGGACUCGCGGCUUAUCAGCUUGUUGGUGGGGUAGUGGCUUACCAAGGGUUUGACGGGUAGCCGGCCUGAGAGGGUGACCGGCCACAUGGGGACUGAGAUACGCAGCAGACUCCUACGGGAGGCAGCAGUGGGGAGUAUUGCGGAAUGGGCGGAAGCCUGAUGCAGCAACGCCGCGUGCGGGAUAACGGCCUUCGGGUUGUAAACCGCUUUCGCCUGAGACGAAGCGUGAGUGACGGUAAUGGGUAAAGAAGCACCGGCUAACUACGUG